ACGAACGCUGGCGGGCGUGCCUAAUGCAUGCAAGUCGCACGCACGGAGCUUGCUCCGUGAGUGGCGCACGGCUGAGUAGCACGUGGGAACGUGCCCUGGCGUGGGGGGAUAACGCCGCGAAAAGCGACGCUAAGCCCGCAUACGCUCGUCUUCGGACGAGGAAAGCAGUGAUGCGCGCCAGGAGCGGCCCGCGGCCCAUCAGGUAGUUGGGGGGGGUAACGGCCUCCCAAGCCGAUGACGGGUAGCUGGUCUGUGAGGACAAUCAGCCAGACUGGGACUGAGACACGGCCCAGACUCCUACGGGAGGCAGCAGCAAGGAAUUUUCGUCAAUGGGGGCAACCCUGAACGAGCAACGCCGCGUGGUGGAUGACGGCCUUCGGGUUGUAAACACCUUUUGGAGGGGAUGAUUGUGGACAGUACCCUCCGAAUCAGGCUCGGCUAACUCUGUGCCAGCAGCCGCGGUAAGACAGAGGAGCCAAGCGUUGUCCGGAUUGACUGGGCGUAAAGCGCACGCAGGCGGGUGCGCGCGUGGGGUGUGAAAACCUGGCCGCUUAACGGCCAGCGGCCCAUCCCAUACGGCGCGCCUGGAGCCUUGCAGAGGGCGGUGGAAUUGCCGGUGGUAGUGGUGAAAUGCGUAGAGAUCGGCAGGAACACCCAGGGGGAAACCAGCCGCCUGGGCAAGUGCUGACGCUGAGGUGCGAAAGCGUGGGGAGCGAAACCGGAUUAGAUACCCGGGUAGUCCACGCGGUAAACGAUGGCCACUCGGCCUCUGGGAGCGGAUUUUCCGCUCGUGGGGGCCUCAGCUAACGCGGUAAGUGGCCCGCCUGGGAACUACGAGCGCAAGCUUAAAACUCAAAGGAAUUGACGGGGGGCCCGCACAAGCAGCGGAGCGUGUGGUUUAAUUCGACCGCAAACGCGCAGAACCUUACCCAGGUUUGACAUGCAGCUGCAAGCCGUGGAAAACACGGUCGCCUUCGAGGGUGCUGCACAGAUGCUGCAUGGCUGUCGUCAGCUCGUGUCGUGAGAUGUUGGGUUAAGUCCCCGCAACGAGCGCAACCCCUACGGUCAGUUACCUGGUGUCUGGCCGGACUGCCCAAUUUGGGAGGAAGGUGGGGAUGAUGUCAAGUCCGCAUGGCUCUUACGCCUGGGGCGACACACACGCUACAAUGCCGGCCGCAAUGCGCGGCGACCCCGUAAGGGGGAGCAAAUCGCCAAGGGCCGGCCCAGUGCAGAUUGGGGGCUGCAACUCGCCCCCAUGAAGGCGGAGUUUGCUAGUAAACCGCGUAUCAGCCAUGGCGCGGUGAAUACGUACCCGGGCCUUGUACACACCGCCCGUCACGUCAUGGGAGUUGGCAAUGCUUGAAGUCCGUGGGCUGACCCGCGUAAGUGGGAGGCAGCGGCCGAGGGCAGGGCCAGCGACUGGGACG
rnacentral:rRNA from 1 species